rnacentral:tRNA from 3 species
GCACCCGUAGUGAAAUGGAUAUCAUGCCUGCCUUCGAAGCAGUUGUUGGGGGUUCGAAUCCCUCCGGGUGCACAA